rnacentral:rRNA from 1 species
CCCGCCUACGGGAGGCAGCAGUGGGGAAUCUUGCGCAAUGGGCGAAAGCCUGACGCAGCGACGCCGCGUGGGGGAUGAAGCAUCUCGGUGUGUAAACCCCUUUCGACUGGGACGAAUGCCUCGCAAGAGGAGUGACGGUACCAGUAUAAGAAGCCCCGGCUAACUACGUGCCAGCAGCCGCGGUAAGACGUAGGGGGCCAGCGUUGUUCGGAAUUACUGGGUGUAAAGGGUUCGUAGGCGGUGUGGCAAGUCGGGAGUGAAAUCUCUGGGCUUAACCCAGAGGCUGCUUCCAAAACUGCUGUGCUAGAGUGUGGGAGAGGCGCGUGGAAUUGCAGGUGUAGCGGUGAAAUGCGUAGAUAUCUGCAGGAACACCCGUGGCGAAAGCGGCGCGCUGGACCACUACUGACGCUGAGGAACGAAAGCUAGGGGAGCAAACAGGAUUAGAUCCCCUGGUAGUCCUAGCCCUAAACGAUCAGGACUUGGGGUGCCGCCCGUCGGGUGUCGUCCCGGAGCUACGCAUUAAGCCCUGCACCGGGAGACGUCGCAGACU